AUGCAGCCCAUUGAUAGCACAGCUGGCAAUGCAGCCAAAUCCAAGACCAAAAAGUCCAAGUUUCUGAACGAGGCUCUCCGGUGCUUUCUUUCAUGUUUUUGUGUCACUGUGGAGGACUCAGAUGAAGAAGAUGAUGAGCCUUUGGACCAACCAAGGCGGUACGACCAAACGUUCCUCAAAGUUAAACAUAUUGCCCUGAAUUGUGACUGGAACAUUCAUGUGACAAAGGGAGAAGGGUUCUUCAUCAUACAGAUCUUCUGUUUUCUUGGGUUUUGCAUUAGCAGGGAGAAGCAGGCUGAAGAGCCUUUGACAAUAGUCAGCCGGCCAGGCUCACCUUUAGGAGUCGCAGGACACCAGAGCCCAAAGUGUCCUGCAGGGGAAGGAGGAGAAGACACGUGUCCAGUAGACAGUCCCUGUUCCUCCACAUCCAGCAGCGACAUUGAACAAGCUAUAAAAAUGCUUCUUCUAAACUUAACAUUGAUAUAUUUUUAACUUUGUUUAACGUGAUUGAGCUGAUGUUGCUUUAUUCUUAACGGAGCCUGGGGUCUACAGAUGAAGAAGACCCAGAGAUACAUUCUUCCUGUGUCAGUGACACCGAACAGGAGGAGCUGGCUGAAGAGCCCUCGGCAAGAGUCCACCAGCCAGGCUCAGGUACAUUUUUCUCUUGUGAUAGAGAAAAUUUAACACCAGUUCCCGAUGUUUCACAUGGACCCUGUCUACUCUUCCAACAGAGACCAAAGUGUCCUGCAUUGGCCGGAGAAGUGGACACGUGUCUGGUGGACAGCCCCUGUUCCUCCACAUUCAGCAGUGAUGUCGAACAAGCUGUAAAAAUGCUCUUUCUAUAAUUAACAUUGAUGUAUUUUUGACUUUGUUUUUCUAGAUUGAGCUGAUGUUGCUUUAUUCUUAACAGAGUCUGGGGUCUACAGAUGAAGAAGACCCAGAGAUAUAUUCGUCCUGUGUCAGUGGCACCCAGGUCACCAGGUACAUUUUUAAUAGAUUGAGCUGAUUUUGCUUUGCCUUUAACUAACAGAGCCUGGAGGAGAAGAAUGAGGAAGACUCGCUUUCUUCACAUCUGGCGGCUGUUUUGGCUGUGACGUCACAGCCUAGUGCUACAAAGAAUAGAUUCCUGGAGGCCUUAAACUAUGUGGUCUCGAGAAGCAGAAUGGAAAGUGGGAGAACCCUUACAUCUGAUGAACUGGCCUGUUAUGGGUAAGAAAUUUUGCAUAUCAUCAUCAACAACAACACUUUGCUCAGUUUUUCUUGUGUUUCAGGCUCCCCAACCUGUCCCAGACCUGCUAUAUGAACUCUGUUCUCCAGAGCCUCCUGACCCCCAUGCCUUUUGUGAAGGAGCUCAACAAACAGAGUCAACAGUGGCUUUCGCACCCAAAAGCUCUGCUUUUCAAGUACAACACAAGCUCACGUGCCCCCAUUAUUCUAUGGCAUUAAUGCAAUGAAUGAAAAACAUCUGCUUUCUCCUUUCUCCAGGUUGCUCAGUGACAUCAACAAUGGCUUCGCGACUAAAAACAGAAUGCAAGAGAAGUCCACCCUCUUUAAAUUCCUGCGGACCAUUGCCCUGCAUCAUCCAGAAUUUAGAAAUGAUGCCCAACAAGUAAUCAUUCUUUUAUUUUCAAGAGCAUCAUCCUGAUCUUUUCUGGACUAGACACUUUGGUCUGUCUGCAGGAUGCCCACGAAUUUUUGAACACCAUCCUGGAACAGCUGAGCUCCAUCUCUGCAGAGAUCAGGUCAUUGGCAAAUGAGAAACAGCAGAGCUACACCUGCCCUGUGGAGGCUCACAUCAGCUUCCAGAUGUUGAGCACCAUGCUGUGCCACAGGUGGGAAUAUACCUGGAAACCUUCUGCUCCUGCAUAGGUGUUGAACUUGUUUAGUUGAAUCCUUAGUUACUUGAAUCCUCUCUUGAAUUACAGUUGUGGCCAUGAACGUGAAAAUAUGGAGGAGUGUUUGAACCUGUCCGUGGCGCCUGAGGACACCAUCAUGCAAGGAAUACAGCUGUACCUGAAAGUAAGGGACACAUGUUUGGUGUUCAUGUGUGAAUGAUGGAGGAGCUGUUGAACCUCACGACUGUUGUUGAUUCUGCAGGAGCAACUGCUGGAUUACAAAUGUCACUGUGGCGCCUCCCAGACGACAGAGCAAAGAUCCUUCUUCACUCUGCCAAAGUGAGAACCAGCCAUCUCAGCAUCCUCACAUCUGCUGCCUUCUAAAGGCCCUAACUGUCUCUACAUCUCCUCUUCCCUCCCCUUUUCUUCUCGAUAGUGUGCUGAUCAUCCACCUAUUGAGAUUUAAGUGGUCCUACUUUGCUGCGCAAAAAAUACACAAAGCCACAUGUUUAUCCAGGGAGCUGCUGCUCCAUACAAAUCAGAGCAGUGAGAAGGUAAACCCUUGAUAAACCUUUAAGCAGUCAUCAGUCUGAAAUGGCUCAAAGAGUGGAGCUAAUGGCUUGUUCUUUUUAUUUUCUGUAGACAAAAUAUACUCUGAAGAGCAUCGUCAACUAUUUGGGGAGUUGCACUACCAGCGGUCAGUGUUUCGCUGUCAGUAUUGCGUUGAAAACCAACCUUCUAGUUUGACCACUAACAAAGCAGUUCCUUCCUUCACAGGCCAUUACAUUUGUGAUGGAGUUUAUCGAAAUGCAAGCCAAGGGGAUGGGAAUGCCUGCUGGGUGACAUACGAUGACGACGUUGUCACAGAAACAAAUUUUAACCACGUGUGCCAGCAGCGGCAAAAAACAGCAUAUUUACUCUAUUAUGAGAAGAUGGAGAAGGAUUAGAAUCAGGACAAGAAAUAUGACUAAAUAUGUCAUUUGUUAGAACUGGUUGUCUCAGGACCCAAAAGCAGGCAACCCACAGUGGGGAAAAAUGAACUAAAAGUGCCUUUAUUCAAAACACAAGGUUCACAAGGUCUGGGUGUGGUAGAAGUUGCGGAGGAGGCCGUCGUCAAGGAUGAAUCGGCUGCAGCUUUCCCCAUCCGCUCCACCUCAGAGGGCCCCACGAAGCGAGGAGCCAGCUUCUGAGACGCAGGAGUGCAGCACGGACUUGCCUCCACACCCUCCUGCAACGGCGCAUGCUGGCCUGUACCGAGGGUACCGCUACUUCGUCCUCCUGGAUCUCAAAUAACAGAGGCUGGUACCCCAGGGAUGCCAUGAAGGGAGACAGUCCGGUGGACGCUGAGACCACGGAACUCCACGGCAGGUGGGUGAUUGACCCCCGGGUGGCAGGUCAACUUUGAGGCGUGGGCCCGUUGCAGGACAUCAGACCGCACCGCCUCCAGGACGAACAGCCGGUUCGGUGGACCUCCACCAGGAUCCGGGGCAUCCACCUCCACCACAAACUGCCAACUGGGGUCGAGUUGCGCGAGGAUGGGCGACGACGAGAACAGGCUCUUCAGCCUGCUGAAAGCGGCUUCGGCCUCGGGAGUCCAGCUGAAAACCUGUAGAGUGGAAGUGAGUCUGGUGAGUGGGGCAGCCACCUUGCUGUAGUCCCGGAUGAAGCGGCGGUAGAAGUUAGCAAAGCCCAGGAACUGUUGCAGCUGCUUCCGGGAAGAGGGAGUCGGCCACUCCAUGACUGUCUUUACCCCGGCCGUAUCCGGGGAAAGCUGUCCCCGCACCACCACGAACUCCAGAAAGGAGAUGGUGGUGUGGAACUCGCACUUCUCAGCCUUCACAAUAAGACGGUUCUCCAGGAGCCGUCGGAGGAUGAAAUGGACAUGCAGAACGUGUUGUUUCCGAAACCACACCCUCGUUCCCUACUCACUAGUCACUACAUGGGGAACAUGGAUUGAGUGAACUACGUAGCACACUCAAUUUAAAGUUAGUACAACGGUGUCAUUUACGGCGCAUGUAAAGUGACGUCAUGGUGUCGCAUAAUAAUUACGAACCGGUCGCCGGGAAAAGUGGCCAGGUCCAUUUAAUUAUUUUAACCCAUCAGAAAUACAUUCAGCGGUCAUUUUAUGAAAAUGCUAUAUUUUACCCUAUAAUCAACUUUAUAUAAUAAAAUUAAAUAUUAAUGUCAAUAAUAAUACAAUAAUAAUUACUUAUUACCUAAAAUAAUUAGUGUCCCUUGACAUUUUCAAGCCAAGACGUGAUGGUACAUUCUCAAGUCAUAUUCCGCUGUAGUGAAAACAUUUAAUAAAGCAAUUUUUCAUCAAAAAAUGGAUCCAGAGCUACUUUUCAUCUUUGUAAAUAUUCUUUUCCUGAGUUUCUGUCGCCUGGUGAGGAACAGACGAUUCCGAAGAACAAUUUUAAGUGAGGGGCGGGGGGAUCAGUGAUUGAUUGAUUUUUUUUUUUUUACACAUUUAUGUUGUAAU
ensembl:lncRNA